UUAAAUCAUUGCCGCAGAACAAAUGUUUCAAUGUCAUUCAUUAUCUUUUACGACAUAAGUGAGGAAGUAAUGUUAGAGUUACAGUGAACAUCUAGAGCACGAAAUCAAUCGAUGAUAAAAGAUAUUAGAUGAAUGUGGUCUAUUUUUGUGUGUACAUGUCAAGUUUGUUCUACACAUCAGCUCAUCGAACAGACAGUGGCUGUUGUUGACUAGGUGUUGGAGCAGUGGCUAAAUGCCAUUUCACUGAUGAAGGGAUCUUUCAGUGACUAGAUUUUGUUUUAGUGACUAGUCGCUGUUUCAGUGAAAUAAGUGUUUUUCUUUUUCAGUGACUAGGUGUUGUUCCAUGAACACAUACAAUGCUUGCGUUAUUGUGUUUCAUUCUCUCUGCGUCUCUGUGUUGGGCUCUCCCUCCCAGACCACAUCUUGUGUUUAUUGUGGCUGACGAUUUAGGUUGGAAUGAUAUAGGCUACCACAACCCAGACAUCAUAAGUCCUACCAUAAAUUCUCUGGCCUAUUCUGGGAUUAUACUGAACCAAACCUAUGUGCAACCUUUAUGUUCACCAUCCAGAAGUGCUCUUCUAACAGGUGUCUAU
rnacentral:sRNA from 1 species